AACUGGAGAUGAGACUUAGAUUUACUUUUAUAUCAAAGUAUUAUAUGUAUAUAUGUAUUGAAAACGCACUUGAUUUAAGGAUAAUAGAUCUUCAAUUGUCGCGAAGACAAUAAAGUGGAUUUCCUGAAGAAAAUUCUUUUGUCCAUUUGGGAUUGGAAAGAUAUAUUCUAUCAUUAUCGAUAGAAGCCUUUUUCAAAAUGAAAUCAUCAAUUCUGUAAAAUAUUGAAAUCAGCUUGAUAAAUUGAAAGAUGCAUAUAGCAGAAAAACGGCCAAAAUUGGCGAACCGAUAAGGCCAUCACGACAAUGCAAAAUCGCAUAUUACAUUAAUUAUAAGAGAAAAGUUGUUACAAUUUGAUACCACAUUUUUUGUAUUAUAUUAUAUUCAGAUUUUGCUCUAUCCGAUUUGUUUUUGUCAUUAAAAAAUUCUUUCCAUGAUAAACGGUUCCAAUCCGUAAACAAAAAAAAUGCAUCCCAAGUUUAUUUUGCAAAUAAACCUCAGAAAAAGGAAAUAAUGAGACUUCCUAAGAAAGGAAGAAGAAGAUAAUAGAUGAACAUGAACAAUUCCCAAGAGUAUGCUAUAUCAUAUUCCAUGAAACAACAACAACAAACAAAAGUCAAAACAACUGUGUUCGAAAUAUUUGCAUCAUUCAGAAGAACAUAUUAUGGCCUCAGUCUAUCUAUUUAUAUAGAAUUAGAAAGAUUGCAAUCUUUGUAAUUUAUAAUUUUCUCUAACUUGCUGACGACGAAUUUAGCAUCUCAUAUUUUGGAUUGUAAGGUAAUCGUUGGAGGAGAUUUUACAACAUUUCUAGCUAUUAAAUCACUUGCUCAUAUUAGGACUUUAUACAUAGAGCUAUGUUCCGCACGACUUCUAUAUAGACGCGGCAAAUUUUUUCAUUGCGCUGGAAAUUGGUUAAAAGAAAAUCGAAAUAUCUUAUUAUGUUUCUGAAUGCAUUCUUGGUAUAUAUAAUCAACAUGGACAUGCUCAUCCAAUAAAAUCAGCCUUGGUCUUAUAUGGAAUCAUUUUCAACGGAUAAUGAGGAUCAUGGAGAACAUAUCCAAGGUGAACAAUUCUUUAUUUUUUCCUAUUUUUGGCUGAUCACCAGUGUACUAUCGAUAGAAGAAACUCUGAUGUGUUUGAUCAUAGAGAGAUUCUCUUGUAUUGACUCUCAAUCAAAUCGGAAUCUUACUGGAACAGGCAAUUAAAAAGAUUCAAGAUUCCUUGUGUUUAAAAUAUGUAUCGAAUAAUUGAUGCAAUCUGAGAAAAUUUCAGUAUCUUGACUGGUUGAACCAAUACCCAGUGAUAGAAUGAAAUACCAUCAGUGAUGGAACUUUAUUGCUGAGUGUAAAGCGUUUAAGAACUCGAAUGAAUUAUUUUUCAUUAUAUUGGCAGACCAGAUGAUUGGUUUUCGAGCAAACAUCUCUUUAUUAACUUUAAGAGAAGAGUGUGGAUUUAUCAAGAUUUUUUGUGAUUGAUCAUAGCCUUAAGACUUUUAAUUUUAAAUGUAAAGAUAGAAAAGGAUUUUAAUUUCUUCCUCAUUUUUCAUCCUGAAGAGUGAUUGCUCACUAGAAAUUAAUAAUGGAUUCUUCUAAAAUCAUGUAUAUAUGAUAGUGAAAUCCAGUUCAAUAGCCAGUUCAAAAGAUGUAAACCCUCUACUUAACCAUAAAUGAAAUUUUUCAUGGAGAUUCAUAAACUUGCUAUUGAAAUUUUCCAGGAUUAUAUUGAAGGGAAUAUUAAAUCAUAUCUCAUAACCUAGAUAUUCCUGGCAUAAUAUUUUAAUUUGAAAAUAUUUCGACUAUAACGAAAUAUCUAUUCUAUCCAUUUUAUGCUUAAGAAAUAAACAUAGUAUGGUGAGCCGCUUUGACAUAUAUAUAUGAUAACAAUCUCUAAAUCUCCCCAUCUCCAAAUUAGCUAAAACUAUUAAAAUUUCAUUAAUUUUCUGAUCAGAAUUCUCAUUAAACAAAAAGAAUUCUCACUUUAAACAAAAAAAAUGUUGUAGUUUCCCAUAUAUAAAGUCGUAUUUGUAAAAUGCAAUAUUUUAUUUAUUCAUGCACUAUUCCGAAUUCUAGCUAAUGAUAGUAUUAAAAGAAUCAGAAUUUUGAUUCUAAAAUCGAGAUCUUCCAUAUUAUCCAUAACUUCUUUGCUGUCAACAAUUAGGAAGUAAUUCAUUCAAAAACGGGAUUUCAAUUUUAAUCUUUUCUUUUGAUACUUUUACGGUAAAAUACUGUGGUAAUAUCUCGCGCAAAAAACGAAUGUCAUCAAGAUUUAGAAAUAAUUUUCUUAUUUUGAUUGAAUGCGCAAUUCAUUUAAUUCCUUCCUAAAAGCGGCCAAAAUUAGCCUUAGCUAUUCUUUGAGUCUUGGAAUUUCUAGAAUCAGUAUUCGUGAUUUUUUUUUCAAAUAAAUUUUUUUAAUACUGAUCAAAAUUGUUCUUGGAACGAAUCAGAAAUGUUUGAACACUUCGGCAUAUAUUGUUUUCAUUUUUAAAGCGAGAGUACAGUAGCUCAAUUAGUCGAGUUAGCUGUCAAAAAUCCAUUUUAAAAAUUUUACUUAAAUUAAAAUUUCUAUUAAGAUAAUUAAAUAUACUAGAAAUAAUAUUUUGUUAUUAUUUUUAAUCAUUUAUGUACUCGUGAAGUAUCAUGCUUCAAAUACAUAGAAAUUAUUAUGGUA